UACGAGGGGGGCAAGCGUUGUUCGGAAUUAUUGGGCGUAAAGGGUGCGUAGGCGGUCUGAUAAGUCAUCUGUGAAAUCUAUGGGCUCAACCCAUAGUCUGCAGGCGAAACUGUCGGGCUUGAGUAUGGGAGAGGUGAGUGGAAUUUCCGGUGUAGCGGUGAAAUGCGUAGAUAUCGGAAGGAACACCUGUGGCGAAAGCGGCUCACUGGACCAUUACUGACGCUGAUGCACGAAAGCUAGGGGGAGCAAACAGG
rnacentral:rRNA from 1 species